CUUAUAGGACCUCUGGGGCAAGCGUGCCUCGUGAGGGGCUUAGGGGCCACGGGCCGCCGCGCCGGCUUCCCACCGCGCAUCAUUUGGCCAAGACGAGGUGGGGCUGGAGUAAGGCUGCUCCGAAGCAAAGUCUUGGAGAAGGAAGAGGCUGAGAGGCAGGAGACUUAGGAGACUCUGGCCACGGAGCCAAGAGGAGGCACCUGGUUUCCAGAGUAGCGGNNNNNNNNNNNNNNNNNNNNNNNNNNNNNNNNNNUGGUCAGCUCCUCCUAAAGUCCACAGAAGCGCUGCUGAACUCUAGAAAUCUUCCUUGGGCGGGGAGAAGUUUUCUAGCAUCCUCUUUGGCUAGGACUGGGAGUUGGAGAAAACGGGCGGGGCUGUCCUGUCUGGCUGCUCUGGAAGCCACCGUCUUCCCUACGCCUCCUCGGAGCCCCUCGCCUUCGGGCAGCCUCCCUUGUCGCCUGGGAAUCUUGAGCCCGGGCUCUCUGCAACCCAGUUCUCUAUCUCAUUCUGGACCGCGAUCGCCCCGACAUGGAACGGCACGCUUGAGCCCCGCUGGACGCCCCGGCUGUUUUGCAAGACUCAGACAGCUGCCAAGGAAAGUGAACGAUGAAGCCACCAUUUCUUUUGGCUCUUGUAGUCAGUUCUGUAGUCAGCACAAAUUUGAAGAUGGUGUCAAAGAGAAAUUCUGGUCAUAUGAAACCAUAUCCACUGGACUGUAGAACAAUAAGCAAUCUUAUGCAUGUUUCAAUAUUUAAAU
rnacentral:lncRNA from 1 species